GGCAGGCUCGCUACCAGUACAUAAUUUUAUUAUUUUGGAUGGAAACCCUGAUUAAAUAUUUCGCGGCCAAUAACAAUAUCGUUUUGCAUGUGAUCAUCGCCAAUUACAUAGAACAAAAUCGGGAUACAGUGCUCAUCAAUUUUAACGUUAUAUUCAUAUAGUUUUUCUUUCUACCCAAGAGAAAGAGACAGACAUGGCCAGAUGAACUCUGGUAGUCAUCCCGAUCAAAAAUAUAGAAGUUAAGUAAGUUAACCGGACCAAUCGUGCGCUCACCAGCACCGGUCAAACUGCUGACCUAGCAUUUGGCCGGAAGCUCGCACAUAGCCGGCAAAAGCUCUACACAUUGGCAGAAGCCGCUAUGUCAGUUCGUUUUGGAUUAUCCAAUAAUACAGAGCACAAGCUCAUAAAACUUACUCCGGCAUCUGUCGUUAUCAUUAUAAGCUACCAUAGCUAUCUGUCAUCUAUCAGUCAUCUUCCCAACAUAAUCAUCAUAAAUCUUCAAGUGAAUUCACUACCCCCCGCCUCCGCACAAGGGACAC